CCCUUAAGGCGGGAUAUUGCACCAAAUUCUCAAAUCCCGGUAGGGGAAUUGGUCUGUCAAUCAACAUAUGUCCCACCUCCUCUCAAGUCCUUAGGUAACAAUACCGCCAGAGCUGUGACGACAUUCCUGCUUCCCGCCCCGCCUCCAGGCGGAUCCGCGAAGUAUAUGACGUUCGGGGAUUGGCUGCUGGCUGGGUGAGGGGAAAGAACCAGUCUUCCGAUCGCCUUGCCGCACCGGCCGUCUCAGAUGCCGAUUGGCUCGCGGGAUUUGAAGGGCUAACACCCGUUUCGUGACAGGUGAACCUUGCCCCGCAACGGACGGCCAGGCUUCUAUCAAGGGAAACCCGAGGUCACAUGACUAGUCCUUAGGGAGGCCGCCAUUUUGACACUACUGGUUGCCAACUAGAGAGCUGUUGGAAGGCAGAGGCCGGAAACAUUGAGGCGGUUUCUGGAAUCUGGUUUGCUGACCAGGAAAGAAUCAGUAGAUGGGAUAUUGCUGGAAAUGGAGGUUCUGAAUGGCGCUCUCCAGCGAGCUUACUUUUCCCAUCCAGGUUAUUGGUACCAACAUCCACCAACCAGUUUUCCCAAACCAAAAAGCUGGGAGGAAUCCUCACUCCAGAGCUACUAGCCCUGUCUGAUCUGUCUUCCUUGCACAGGCAUACUUUACAAACCCCUGUUCAUACCCCAGUUUUAGCCUUUUUCUUGGACUGUUUGCUACAGCUCCCUAAUAGGUCUCUCAGCUUCCAGUGUCAUCUUUCCAAGCUUCGCCGCUACUUAGAGCCGGCUCCCUUUUGCUGGCCCGGUAAAAAUAAAACUUUACCGUGGCCUUAAGAGAUCUCAGGACCAGCCUACUUCGCAAAUGUUAUUUCCACCCUUCUCGUUCCAGGGGGGUGUACCUGCACACAGGUCUGUACCUCUACACACAGUGUACCCAUGUACACUGCAAGCCCCAGCAUCACCUCUACUGAAGAACCUUUCACUACCCUCUCCUUUCCCAUGACAAGCAGGCCUACUCCCACUGUGCGCUCAUUUUGUCCUGCAUUGUGAGUUUGGGAAUGAGUGGCUGGAUCCUACUUAUAUUUGCAACCCCACUGUGGGGCAGUAUGCUUUGUACCUAAUAGAUGUCCAAUAAAUGUUUGCAUUUAUUGGGGAUCUGGGUGCCACCCUCAUUUUUCAAUGCUUUCCCAGCCCCCAAACCUUCCUUCAGUCCGCAGAGGAAUUCCUCCUCGCAGGUUCCCAACACACGUUUGUACUCUGAGAUAACCAAUGAGACCUAGUCCUGGAAAGCAGGGUUGCCCUAUUGUAGCAGUGUUACUACGCAUUUUUUAAAAAGUAAGGAAUGACGGUGUUAAGUUUGCAAAAGGGUUAUUUGUGGCCAGACCAAGCUACGGUUUGACAGCCAGAUUCAAAUGAGGCCAUUCAAAUUAGUUAAAUCAGACAACCCCAAUAGGAUGUGUAUGGCUGGGGCAGGGAUUUGGACAAGAGGAGAUCUCUGUUAGCAAACCAAAAAGUCAAAAGCUUUUCAAUAUACCCCAUUCUUCCCCUCACCCUCACUUCUCAAAAAUCCUUACCUCAGGAACAGGGGAAUUCUGAGCAGAGUCAUAGUUCUUAAAAUUUCACUGAAAAUUACUUCAGCAGCCAUCGCAGCUCCAGUGGUCUGGGAGAACUAACGUGAGCACCGAAGACAAACCCUAAAAGAUUGUGAAGUCGCUGGAAGAAAAAGCAUUUAUCACUUCAUAACAUGAAAUGUUAUGUUAAUGAAUAUCAGAAGUGAAGUGAGUACUGGGGAGAAAUGCUCAUUGUCAUUAGAGGCCGAACCACAAGUGAGGACUUGGUCACCAUCACACAAAGAUUUGGGGUAAGUUUUCCUUGUUUUGGUUUGUUUCUGGUUUAUAGCCAUCCCAAAGUACUGUAUAUACACACCCUCUUAAGAUUUGGGUUGGCAUAGGGGUACCUGGGUGGCUCAGUCAGUUAGAACUUGGAACCUGCUUCAGAUUCUGUGUCUCUCUCUCUUCCCCUCUCUCUGCUCCUCCCCCACUAGCACUCUGUCUUUCUCUCGCAAAAAUAAAUAAACUUAAAAAAACCUGUUUUUAAAUAAAUAAAAUUAAAAAAAGAUUUGGGUUGACAUAGAUGGAGCUCUUGGCUUUGGGCAUUUGGCAGGGGUUAGGAGAUGGGGAACAACUCUGAUUUUCUUUUCUUUAUGGUCUCAACACUUUCCCAAGUCCUUGUUACUCUAAUUCUUGCCAUUAACAAGGUCACGAAGAGAUGAUUAGAUCAAGAAAUGUCCUGACACCAGGCUAUAGAGUGUAGAAGUCACAAACCCUGCUCAGUCCUUCUCAUUAAACUUCUGGGCUUUAUUUUUUUUUUAAUACGACCAUUACAUAUUACACAAAAAUAAAAGUCAAAUGAACUUGAUAUUUAUAAAUUAUUAAAUAAAAAUACAGGAAUAUAUAUUUAUAUUUAUAGAGCUUUUUCUUUUCUUCUAAACUAACCAAAUCUGUUCUCUCGCCAUUUUAUGAUUUAAAAAAGUAAAAUAGUAUAUACCCUAGAAUAAGUGGGGAGUAGGAUUAAUAAUCGCAGGACCUAGUUGCCCUACUUCUGCUCCUUCCUUGGCCUAAGCAAAAUCCCUAUAUGUCCCUUUGGGCUCUGGAGAGCAAGAAACACCCUCUCUACCUAUUUAAUCUCUGAAAAAUGGCAAUUAGAUUUAUUUCCCUUAUUUUUUAAAAAAUGAAAUAGAUUUAAAAAUUGGGAGCCAUACUCAGCCUUCCUGGCCAAGAGCUAAUCCCAAGGAACUAUAUGGCUCUAGAAGAGUCUCUAGUUUUCCCUGACAGAAGAGUCUCUGGGGUUUCCAUUGCCCCUCAAGGACAGGACAGAUCAAAACUGCCCACUACGGUCCCAUUCAAGCUAUGCUUCUGGGAAUCCAAGCCCUUUACCCUUUCAGAAAACAACUUCUCCUUCUACCAAGGUGUGAAGGCCUCAGAGCAGGGCAUUUCAGUUACCUGACCACAGUCCCUGCUGCUCCUGUUUGCUAAAGGUCCCCAGGAGAGUUAACAGGGAUAGGUGGUCUUGUGGUAGAGGGGAGGGUGGAGUCUGCCCCAAACCUGGGGGAGCACAGGCUCCAAUUUGGAGCUGAUGGUCUAGUCAGUGGUUUUCCAACAUUUUUUUUUCAGCAGCAAACCCCUUAAUGCAAAUAAAAUCUUACCCUGAACCCCGAUAUGUAAGACAGCUACAAGGGGAGCUAUUCUGUUUAAGGACAAGUAGCCCAGCCUGCUCAGCACCCCCUCCCUUCACCUCCCCAAGGCCUCCUGAGGCAACCCCUAGGAAACCUCAGGGCUCUGCCAAGCAGCCUGAAAACCACUGGUCUAGUUUGUCCUGAGCAAGUCAGAGACCCCCCACCCCACCCCAACUGCCUGCCACAGACCAGCUCUGAGUUUCUGGUAUCAGCAUACUCAUGAUGGACCAAGUGGCACAUGCAGUCUUCCACCUCCCCUAUAAAUACCAUUAAAAAGUGCAGCCCUCUCUCAAAAGCAAAAGUCUGGGCUAAACACCUGAGGCCAAUUUUGGUCCCACAUUCUUGUGAGUACAACUAUGUUGCCACAUUUUGGGACCAAAUGAAAAUCCCAAGAAGAGUCAACCAUGGUCUAGCUAAGCUGAUCAGUGCUCAGGAUCAAGGGCAGGGUUCUAGAGCACUGUGUCUGAAGUCAGCAUUGGAGAGCAGCAAUUUUAGCACCUUGGGAAGUGCAGCAGUGAGGUCUGGCUCAGGGCAUGCAUCUGGAGUGAAAUCAUUUCUUUCUCAAAAGAAAAAGCUAUAAGUGGAAUCUGUUCUAGAGGACUGUGAGCUCUAAAGUUAACGUCCUCAGACUCAGAGGUACAGACAAGUAACACCCAUGCAAACAGCGUGGCUUCAAAGAAAAUAUAAAUGCUUCUAGGUCAUGGUAGGUACUCUAGAACCCAUAUAUCUGGCCCUUGAUAAAGCAGCACCAAAGCCCACUACACGGAAUAGGCCAGUCACGGAGUAUAGGUCACCCUCACACCUAUGGGGUUCAGAGCUGGAAUGUUCCUCUCAAGGCAUCAACAGUCUCACUGAGACACAGUGCAAGACCCAGACUGUACUCUAGAUCAGCAUUUACCUCCACACACUCACAAGGAAAAUUAGAGUCCCAAUUUAGAGUUUGAGUUUGGGUGCAGAAAGUCCCAGAGACAGGGAACACUUUAGGCACCAGUGUGCCCCAGUGGGAGAGGAGGGCGGCAGGUAGGUCCAGCUCCCCACCCACCCCCACUGCAGGCUCCAUGGCCCUGUUUUCUGUCAGAGCCCAGGAGGCAGCAGCAAGUGCAUGAUGCACAAGGAAUAGGGACGGUGAAGCAACAGGGCCAGCUACAGAACUUAUCUCCAAAGCCCUGCAAAUGACUUUCUGUGGAAAAGUGCCCAAAGCCCUCUUCUGGAUACAGUGUUUUUCCCAUAGCCUUGAGGCAUCAGGACAAGGAGAGGGGGAGAAGGGAGUUGGGAGGAGGGGCAGAGAGCUGCCCCUUGUUCUUGCCACUUCAACAGGGAAUGUUUUCUCUGUGAAUACGGCCGCCACCAUGUUAGACAAGCAGCCUAGCAUGCACACAAGCACGCGUGCACAUGCAUACACAUGUCCAAGCAGCCCAACAUCACAGCCACCUCUCCCUAUCACCUGAGAACUCCAAGCUUCCAUUCCAAAGGGAUGUGCCUUCGGUGUUUUUCCCCAAAUCUCACUCAUCCAAUGGAGACACAACCCCUUAUGCAAAUCCUCCUUCUUUAGGGCUACAAAGUAAGCUCUAGUUAUAGUUUUGUGUGCCUAUACCUAUAGGCAUGAUCUCUCCCACCUCCUCCCAACCCUGGAAUGCCUCCAUCUCCUGGCCUGCUCGCUUUCCAAACACAUCCCCUAAUGUCUCCAGCUCAUCCUUCCGACUGCCUGCCUGGCACACACAGCUCCUUCCCACAGUACCCUGCCCCUUCCCAUCCCCAUUCCAUGCCCAUCCAUUCACCCACUUCUUCCAAGGGCAUUUCUCUUGUUCUGUUCCUGCUCUCUUGUCCCCCAACUACACCUAGCCCCACCUGGCCCUGGACUUUCUCACUUGCUAGCAAAAAAGGCCCCUACAGUUACCAGGGCCCCCAGUGCCACGGCCCCUGUCAGCACUGUCCUCACUGAGGCCCAGUUCCCCUCCCGCAGACGCCGCGCCUCCUCCAGGGCCCCGUCCCCGUAUAGAGCUGUGAACUCCGCCUGUGGGAGAGAAGGGAAGUAGGAGAGAAAGGAGAAAGGGAUAUCAGGAGAGGAAAGAGUGGAGGAAAGAGGAGAGGAAGAGUUCCAGUUCCAUCCACUACAAGCACUACCCCAUACCCAGCUCCUCUCCAGCCAAAGCUCUACUGGCUGCAAGCCCCGAUCAUCCCCCAUGAGCGCCUGGCUCAUUCGCCCUUUCUGCCUCAAGUGAAUCCCAGCCUUUCCCUGGCCAAACAUUUUGCUCGGAACUGGCAUCCUUUGCCAAGGCUUUCCUGACCCUCUGACACCCCCCCGCCCAUGCCACAUACUCUGGUGUAAAAAGCUCCUGAUGGCUGGAUGCCAUUUCCCUGCAGGCACUGUGUAUUCUGUCCUCUGCUUUGGACCAUGAGCCCAUCCAGUGAUGACUGCAUGGCAGCCCUGGAGUGCGUGACACCCAUGGUGAGAGCAUCUGAUUCCACCCAAAUAGGGAGACUCAGACCCCCGCCUCCAGCCAGAACCCCUGUCUUCCCUCUGGAGACCAUCUUUGCAGAGGGGUGUGCAGAGCAGCAAUUGAGAAGCUUCUUACCCAGCCCCCACUGCUGUGAAUCCAGUCGGCCAGCCGUGUCUCCAGGAACUUUAACCCAGUAGUCGCUUCAGAGGCUGGGGCUUUAACCAGGCAUCAAGACUUGGAUCGCAAGUAGUUUCUGCAGGCUCCUUCUUGACAGUCUUCUAGAAAGGAGAAGAGGGAAAAGAAGCAGUUCCUGAUGCACAUGAACAACUGCUCCCAGGUAACCAGCUCCCUGCACCCUUUUUUAUCUGUUAACUAAUUUCUCAAAAAUUUCUGAAUCCCCCUCCUCCUUAUUACUAAGAGAGUGCAUGCACAAAAGCCCAUACAUGCAUUUAGAACACAGUAUGGGGGCUAGUUACCCUGCCCCUCCUGUCCAAAGCCUUAGUCCUUUGAAGGAAGAUGGCCGAAAGAGAGGAACUCCAAGUCACUUCUCAAAGAAAUGCUGGCUUAAACAUCAUCCUUAUCUAAUGAAGAAAACAAAGAAUUUCAUGCAUCUUGUGGAACACCUUCAGGUCAAAGUACCAGCAGAGUGAAGAAAGAAACUGCUAGAAGCCACAAAGCAAUGCGCUUUUUAGUCAUCAAUGAAGAGCCCAAGGGAGGUUGAUGGAGAGGGAGACUGGGUUGAGGCUCAGUGUAUAAUAAUCUCUUGCCUAAUGUGUAUGCAUUAUUAUUAUGUUGUAUUAACAAUCAUAAUAGCUCACAUUUACUUAUCUGCUAAAAUCUGGUGUCUUGCAUGCAAUACAACCCUCAAAACAACCCUAUCAGUUGAGUAAUAUCCCUAUUUUAGAGCUUAGGAAACAGCUCACAAAAGCUCAGUAAUUUGUUCAAGAUCACAUAGCUAGUAAAUGGCAUAGCUGGGAUUGUGAACUCAAGAUGUCUCCAGAGGUUCUGUGCAUAACCAUUUGAUUAUAGUUCUUCCUUUAAAAACAAAACUGACAACUUUGCCAUAUAUAGUCUCUUAUUAGGAAAAGACCACAGUUUCUAACUGCUCUGCCUUCCUAUCCUCCCAAUCUCCUGAACUGGCAUAGAGAAGGCAAAGCACUGAGGGGUCCCAAGUUCCAUCCAGGAGCUUGCCGCUGUCUCCUGUACCAGUGUCCCAGCUCUGCAGAAUCAGCAAGGGACCAUCCUGCCUGCCUGCUAGAGAACUUGGGAGCCCACCUGAACUCCAGCUUUUCCAUACAUUGGGAUUCUCUCCUGGCCCUAACCAACUCUCUACACGUGUUGGUGUGUCAUGCCCCUUUCCACUCCCCCGAAUAGUUUUGAACUGACCAAUCCCUAAAGUUUCCACUAGAAAGUAUCCCUGACUAGGACAAUUGCUGAAUGGUCUGUGCUUGGACCCUCUCUGCAAGCCCUGGUAUUACUGAGUAGAUAAAUGUAAACUGGUUGGAGAUGGAAUGAAGAAUAAUCCAUUUUUCCCUGAGCUUUCUCAGUAAGCAGUACCAUGGCUCACCCACCCCCCAUUCUCAGCUUUAUGGAGCCAACACAUGAAUCUUCUAGUUUUCCCAUAUAGAGCUGCCCCAGGGCCUGGGAGUAAACUGACAGUCUAAUCUGAUAUGGGAAACACUAGGAGUUUGGUGGAAUCUUUAGGAAGGUAUGUGUUAGGCAUUGGGAUAGGGACUUUCCCCUAAAGGCUGAUGACUAUAUGAACAGGAGCAAUUUGGUGUAUAACAUGUCAGCCAUAGAUGAGGAAGUGUUAUAUAAGAAAAAACAUUAGGCUGGUCAGGGGCUUGGGUCCUUGAAGCAACACAGCUGGACCACUUUGCCUGUUUCUCCUAUCCAGAUCUUAGAUAUCUUCCUACACUUAGCUGUCUGAUAGCCUUCCUUGUUCUUUUGUUUCUCUUUAUGAAUGUAGCGCAUCAUUUAUUGUCACAAUAAGCCAUAACUUCUGAACUCUCCAAUCUAACUCCCACAUUUUCUUGCUUCUAACACCUGUGUUUCUCUGGAGCUUCUCUGGAUCCUUGCAAUCCAAAGGUCAUAGAAUCAGAGACCAGGAAAAACUUGUCUUUAGAGAUUACUGGGUCCAUGCUCCACUACAGAUGAGGACACAGGUCCAGAGAUGAGAAGUGACUUCAGCAGGGUCAGAGAAUUUGUUAGUGCAGCUCAAGAUGGGUCUUACCCUCAACCCUUCUGCACACAUGCCAUUCCUGGGCUAUAAAACAGGCCUCUACAUAGUCAGAUCUGUGAUUUUUCAUGGCAAGGGAUAAUAUCAGAAAUGUUUCAUUUUCUCCUGCUAGUUUCCAUUCCCUUCCCCAUCCAGGCAUGAAAAGAAACAAAAGGCACUCGUAGUUUUCUUUGUUUUCCCAGCCUUGGCACUUCUUUGGGGUGAUAUUGCUGAGGAACAGUGAAGUUGCUAAAAACAUGGUAUAAUCCACCCAUUGACUAACCUGGAGAGGAAAUUAAAGUUUGCUUUGUGAAUUCCCCCAAACCACUGUUCUCAUCAGGCCCUCCCAGAGCAUCCUCAUACCGUUCACAGUGUAGCCAUGUUCACUGGGCCCCAAACCCACUAGUUCUGUGCCUCACUUCAGCUUCCACAUGCAACUACCCUUCCUUCUGGAUAAAAGACCUCAUAUGUGAAAUAAAGUCAAAAUAUGAAAGUA